rnacentral:misc_RNA from 1 species
UUUUGUUUUUUUUUCUUUUU